GACAGAGGGUGCAAACGUUGUUCGGAAUUACUGGGCGUAAAGCGCACGUAGGCGGCUUUGUAAGUUAGAGGUGAAAGCCCGGGGCUCAACUCCGGAAUUGCCUUUAAGACUGCAUCGCUAGAAUCAUGGAGAGGUUAGUGGAAUUCCGAGUGUAGAGGUGAAAUUCGUAGAUAUUCGGAAGAACACCAGUGGCGAAGGCGACUAACUGGACAUGUAUUGACGCUGAGGUGCGAAAGCGUGGGGGAGCAAACAGG
rnacentral:rRNA from 1 species